UACGUAGGGUGCAGGCGUUAAUCGGAAUUACUGGGCGUAAAGCGUGCGCAGGCGGUCUUUUAAGUCAGAUGUGAAAUCCCCGGGCUUAACCUGGGAACUGCGUUUGAAACUGGAAGGCUAGAGUGUGGCAGAGGGGGGUGGAAUUCCGACGUGUAGCAGUGAAAUGCGUAGAGAUGUGGAGGAACACCGAUGGCGAAGGCAGCCCCCUGGGCUAACACUGACGCUCAUGCACGAAAGCGUGGGGAGCAAACAGG
rnacentral:rRNA from 1 species